UUAUUCGCAUUAAUAAAAACCUCGCAAUAAUUUCUGAAUUUACAUUACAUUGGUACAAUCAUGACUUAAACAUGUUAAAAGAUGCAUUGUGAUAUAUUUGUAAAUUUUCAUUUAAAAAGUAAGAUAAUUUUAUCAAAACUUAAGUCACUUCUCCCUCAAGCAAAGUUGACCUUCAACCAUGUCAAUGAAUUUAAAUCUUCUCGAUUGUCCCUUAAUUAUGUUGAGAUCCUCAAACUGCUAGUCUCAUGUGUAUCUGAUGAAGGACAUUCUAAAAACAUGUCAUGUGCACUGAAAUUAGUAUCAUAUGUAUGUAAAAUAAUCAUUCUAGUUUUGCUUUAGUUCUUAAAAUGAAUACAGUUGACAAGUUCAGUGUAAAAUAUUUUAGUGUCAUGUUGCUAAAGACACUUCUUAUACAUAGAUAUUAAAGACAAUUUUGUAAUGCUUGUUAAAACAGCAGUUUCAUCUAAAUGCACAUAUUUAUUGAAUUGAUCUAGUCUUUCCAUUUAAAAUUGAUAGGUAUUUUAUUUCAAUACUAUUGCAAUUAAAUAAAUGCAAAUGUAAAAAUAACUUAUUAUUAUAACUGAUCAAAAGAUUGGUAUCAAAACAUAGGGUUCCACGAAUAAAAAAGCUUGCAACUUGAGUCAAUACUGUAAUAUUAAAAACUAAUAACGUAUUUCAGUGUUGUCUUCUAAAAAAUUAAUUGUGUCAUCCUUGUUCUUAUAAUAUGUAUGUUUUAUUGUUUUUCUUAUUUUAUAUUUGCAAGAAAUUAAGAGCAGUAUGAUAUGCUUGAUAUUAUUGUUGCUUAAUUGUGGGUAAGACGACAUGGUAUGUGUGCAAUUUGUGUGAGUCAGAGUGAACCAAUACGUGUAAACAUUUGUGUAAUAGGGAAGAGAAAUAUGUCAAUAAACAUUUAAUAAAGACA